GGAGGAGGAGGAGGCGGAGGCGGAGGCUGCAGAGGUAGCUGUGGCAACACAUGGGAUGUGUCCAACAACAUCAAAGGAGGAGGAUGGUUGGAUGCUUGAAAAGACGGUGGUUGUUGUUGUUGUUGUUGUGGCUGUGGUGGUGGUGGUGGGGGUGGGGGUGCUACUGCUACCGCAGCUGCACUUCCACGUAACAAAAGAUCA
rnacentral:misc_RNA from 1 species